rnacentral:antisense_RNA from 1 species
CUUGAUCGAGCCGAGCCACAGCGGCUUGUCCUGCGCCCGGCCCUGGCCGUACGUGGCGAGCAGCGCCUGCGCCUC